AGAGCGAACGCUGGCGGCAGGCCUAACACAUGCAAGUCGAGCGCCCGUAGCAAUACGGGAGCGGCAGACGGGAUAGUAACACGUGGGAACGCGCCCUUCGGUUCGGAAUAACUCAGGGAAACUUGAGCUAAUACCGGAUACGCCCUUACGGGGAAAGAUUUAUUGCCGAAGGAACGGCCCGCGUCCGAUUAGCUAGUUGGUGAGGUAAUGGCUCACCAAGGCGACGAUCGGUAGCUGGUCUGAGAGGAUGACCAGCAUCACUGGGACUGAGACACGGCCCAGACUCCUACGGGAGGCAGCAGUGGGGAAUAUUGGACAAUGGGCGCAAGCCUGAUCCAGCCAUGCCGCGUGGAUGAUGAAGGCCUUAGGGUUGUAAAGUCCUUUUAACGGGGAAGAUAAUGACGGUACUCGUAGAAUAGCCCCGGCUAACUUCGUGCCAGCAGCCGC
rnacentral:rRNA from 1 species